rnacentral:lncRNA from 1 species
CUGAUCCCAACUUCAAAUCUCAGUUAUCCCAGGUUAAGCUCCAACUGGUCUUUUAUUUGUAUGUUAGGGAAGAGAAACCUGAAAAACGACUGCUUGUUUUCCAUGAUGGUUACUUCCGAGCCUUGAAAUUGUGUUGAAAGCUUCUCCGGUUACUCGUAUAGUCGUAUAUAUAGUCCUUGGACACGGACUCUUCCACAAGUACAAAAGUAGGUUUCAUCGGA